CUCUUAGCGCGCACGCCCAGAAAGAGGCUUCUCCAACCCGGCCCGGCCCUUCCUUCCCCUUUCCCGCAGUCGUUGCCUCCUCCUCCCCUGCCUCCUCCUCCCCUUCCUCCUCCUGGCCGCUUAGUCUCACACCCGCCGGGCCGUUGUUCCCGAGACGUUGUUGAGUCCCCUGUGUCCUCUUCUGGGUGGAGGAACUGCAAUGUCUGGUGGAGAACAGAAACCGGAGAGGUACUAUGUGGGUGUGGACGUUGGAACAGGCAGUGUCCGUGCAGCUCUGGUGGACCAGAGUGGGGUCCUGUUGGCUUUUGCAGACCAGCCAAUUAAAAAGUGGGAGCCCCAGUUCAACCACCAUGAGCAGUCCUCCGAGGACAUCUGGGCUGCUUGCUGUGUUGUCACAAAGAAAGUUGUACAAGGGAUUGAUUUAAACCAAAUUCGAGGACUUGGGUUUGAUGCCACGUGUUCUCUGGUUGUUUUGGAUAAGCAGUUUCACCCAUUACCAGUCAACCAGGAAGGGGAUUCCCAUCGAAAUGUCAUCAUGUGGCUGGACCAUCGAGCAGUCAGUCAAGUUAACAGGAUCAAUGAGACCAAGCACAGUGUCCUCCAGUACGUCGGGGGGGUGAUGUCUGUGGAAAUGCAGGCCCCGAAACUUCUGUGGCUGAAAGAGAACUUGAGAGAGACUUGCUGGGAUAAGGCGGGACAUUUCUUUGAUCUCCCAGACUUCUUAUCGUGGAAGGCAACAGGUGUCACAGCACGGUCUCUCUGCUCCCUGGUGUGUAAGUGGACAUAUUCAGCAGAGAAAGGCUGGGACGACAGUUUCUGGAAAAUGAUUGGUUUGGAAGACUUUGUUGCAGAUAAUUACAGCAAAAUAGGAAACCAAGUGCUACCUCCUGGAGCUUCUCUUGGAAAUGGGCUCACACCAGAGGCAGCAAGAGACCUUGGCCUUCUCCCUGGGAUUGCGGUCGCAGCUUCACUCAUUGAUGCCCAUGCAGGAGGACUAGGAGUGAUUGGGGCAGAUGUGAGAGGGCACGGCCUCGUCUGUGAGGGGCAGCCAGUGACGUCACGGCUGGCUGUCAUCUGUGGAACGUCUUCUUGUCACAUGGGGAUCAGCAAAGACCCGAUUUUUGUACCAGGCGUCUGGGGGCCUUAUUUCUCAGCCAUGGUACCUGGGUUCUGGCUGAAUGAAGGUGGUCAGAGCGUUACUGGAAAAUUGAUAGACCACAUGGUACAAGGCCAUGCUGCUUUUCCAGAACUACAAGUAAAGGCCACAGCCAGAUGCCAGAGUAUAUAUGCAUAUUUGAACAGUCACCUGGAUCUGAUUAAGAAGGCUCAGCCUGUGGGUUUCCUUACUGUUGAUUUACAUGUUUGGCCAGAUUUCCAUGGCAACCGGUCUCCCUUAGCAGAUCUGACACUAAAGGGCAUGGUCACCGGAUUGAAACUGUCUCAGGACCUCGAUGAUCUUGCCAUUCUCUACCUGGCCACAGUUCAAGCCAUUGCUUUGGGGACUCGCUUCAUUAUAGAAGCCAUGGAGGCAGCAGGGCACUCAAUCAGUACUCUUUUCCUAUGUGGAGGCCUCAGCAAGAAUCCCCUUUUUGUGCAAAUGCAUGCGGACAUUACUGGCAUGCCUGUGGUCCUGUCGCAAGAGGUGGAGUCCGUUCUUGUGGGUGCUGCUAUUCUGGGUGCCUGUGCCUCAGGGGAUUUCGCUUCUGUACAGGAAGCAAUGGCAAAAAUGAGCAAAGUUGGGAAAGUUGUGUUCCCGAGACUACAGGAUAAAAAAUACUAUGAUAAGAAAUACCAAGUAUUCCUGAAGCUGGUUGAACACCAGAAGGAGUAUUUGGCGAUCAUGAAUGAUGACUGAACAGGGCUUGCAGGUGCUGAUGCCAGAAGCUUCUGUGCCAUUGCAUUAAAGACUUCUGUCAUUUGAUCCAUGUUCAAGACCCUUGAGAUGAGGAAAACGAAGCACAGAGCAAUUGAAUAACUUGCCCAAGAUCACCCAAGAUGUCCGGCUGAAGUUCUUAACCAUUACCUUACACUAAUCAACAGCAACAAUAAAAAUAACCACCUUUCUAGGAUGCAAAUUAUGUUCCAAGAACUUUCAUUAUUUCAUUACAUCUGCAUAGCCCCAAGAGUAAAUAAUAUCCUGUUCUAUUGAAGAAGAAACUGAGGUCCCAAGACAUGAAAUUACUUGCUCAAGGUCACACACUGCCCUCAACUCUGUGAUGUCAAAAUUCCCUUCUCCAUAGGUAACAGAUCCUACCUGGCUACUUUUCAUUAUUAAGGAGAAUGGAGAUGUCUUGGAUUUUUUGUGCACAAAUUGUCCUCAGAACCAAACAAAAUAACCAGCAUAGGAGAGAAUUCACAAAGUAAGAGACUCAUAAAGUAAAAUGUUUUGCUUUCCUUUUUGCCUUUUUCAUCCUGCUUUGUUUUUCAACAUGUGUAAAUCAUUCUGUUACUAUAAACUUAAUAAAGAAGUAAAAGAGCAAAGACCAAAA